rnacentral:rRNA from 1 species
AACGAACGCUGGCGGCAUGCCUAACACAUGCAAGUCGAACGAGACCUUCGGGUCUAGUGGCGCACGGGUGCUUAACGCGUGGGAACCUACCCUUAGGUUCGGAAUAACUGCCCGAAGGGGGUGCUAAUAACGGAGAAUGUCAUCGGACCAAAGAUUUAUCGCCUUUGGAUGGGCGCGCGUUGGAUUAGCUAGUUGGUAGUGUAAAAGCCUGCCAAGGCGAGGAUGCAUAGCUGGUCUGGGAGGAUGAUCAGCCACACUGGGACUGAGACACGGCCCAGACUGGUACGGAAGGGAGGAGUGGGGAAUAUUGGACGAGGGGCGAUAGCCUGAUAACGCCAUGCCGCGUGAGUGGUGCAGGCGUUAGUGUUGCAAAGCUCUUUUACCCGGGAUGAUAAUGACAGUACCGGGAGAAUAAGCACCGGCUAACUACGUG